GUAGAGCUCAGAAACAGGUUUGCGUCAAGCCACACAUCUGAGGAAAAGUUCAGAAAAAAAUCUGCUUCAUUGAAGUUUCACAGAAGCAUGCAGUCUCUGUUACCCUUAAUGAAGGAAGUUUCCGAGGACGGAAAACCGCGAAAUCAAGUGUUUAAUCUUAUUCGCAAUAUGUGUUUUGUAAUAUCAUAUCGUUUUAUAGCGAUAUUUAUGAGGUGUGUGUUUUAAAGACAUUUCUUCCAUUCGCGAGGCGGACCAGACGAGGACCUUUCUUUUUAAAAGGGAAACGCCGAAAGUUAAGUUUUAUCUCAUUUAUAUGUAUUUCAAAACAUCAUAUUGAUUUAUAGCGAUAUUUGUGUGAUGUUCACUCCUAAACUUUUUCUCAGAGAGAUAUUUUCCUCCACUCAUGAUGCGGAGAAUACGGGGAAAUUGGUUUUAUCAUGGAAAACACCGAAAAUGCAUUUUAAUGGCUAUGCAUUGACAUGGAAGUCGCUUUUAACAGGGGAAACAUAAGUAAGAAACAUUUUCUUUCACUGGAGAUGCGGAGCGGACAGGGAAGUUGGUCUUCUCGAUGAAAACACUGAAUGGUUCAUGCUGGCUUAACAGAAAAAUCGAAAGAUGAUGUGCUUGAAGAGUAUGAAGCCACCAAUACAUUAAGUGGGACGAGAAUAGCUUACACAUACCACAGACACGGGAGCACUUUUGUGAUGCUGCAAGUGGGAGUGGGGUAUCUUGCUUGGCUGAAAACUGCAGGGAAACACAUCUCGUCUUGCUGAAAACUACUCUUUACAAGGAGGUCCAAACACCAGUAGCAGAGACUUUGUUCAGUUAACAUUAACAUGCUGUUGUUUAAGCUGAUAAAUGUAAGCAUUAUAAACCUCAUGACAUUAAGUGUACAUACAGUAUGGACCAAAUAAGAAUAUGUAUUUUGUGCCUUUGCACUGAUUUGCUUUGACAUUAUGAUGUUUUAAUUGUUGUAAGAACAUGUUCUUUACAUGCAUUGAAAACAUUGAAUGUGAAAACAUUUUUCUCAGGGAAAAAGAUUUACAAUGUUUCAAUUAAAAAUUAAUAAUUGUAAAAGUGUAUUGUUUUGUGAGUUUAUUUUUUAAUAUUUUUACCUGAACAUUGGUGCAGUGUUCACCAGUUGAGGGAGUUAAAUUCACUCUUUAAAAUUUGCAGUGUAGGUAUAUGUUUUAAUCUGCAUUACCAUUUUAAAAUAAGUAUUUACAAUAUUAACAUUAAAUCAACAUUAAAUAAAUACACAUUAAUCACCAUAAAGUGUUAAAUGUGUAUACUUGAGAGUAAUAAUUUCUUAACACCCUUAGUGAUUAAAAUUAAAC